AUUGAACGCUGGCGGCAGGCCUAACACAUGCAAGUCGAGCGAGAGGCGGACGGGUGAGUAAUGUAUGGGGAUAUGCUCGAUCGAGGGGGAUAACUACUGGAAACGGUGGCUAAUACCGCAUACUACCGGCUGAACCCAUAUGGGAUUAGCUAGUAGGUGGGGUAAAGGCUAACCUAGGCCACGAUCUUUUGCUGGUCUGAGAGGAGGCACAGCCACACUGGGACUGAGACACGGCCCAGACUCCGACGGGAGGCAGCAGUGGGGAAUAUUGCACAAUGGGGGCAAGCCUGAUGCAGCCAUGCCGCGUGUAGGAAGAAGGCCUUAGGGUUGUAAAGUACUUUCAGCAGGGAGGCGUUACCCGCAGAAUAAGCACCGGCUAACUCCGUGCCAGCAGCCGCGGUAAUAC
rnacentral:rRNA from 1 species